rnacentral:rRNA from 3 species
AAAUUGAAGAGUUUGAUCAUGGCUCAGAUUGAACGCUGGCGGCAGGCCUAACACAUGCAAGUCGAACGGUAACAGGAAGCAGCUUGCUGCUUUGCUGACGAGUGGCGGACGGGUGAGUAAUGUCUGGGAAACUGCCUGAUGGAGGGGGAUAACUACUGGAAACGGUGGCUAAUACCGCAUAACGUCGCAAGACCAAAGAGGGGGACCUUCGGGCCUCUUGCCAUCAGAUGUGCCCAGAUGGGAUUAGCUAGUUGGUGAGGUAACGGCUCACCAAGGCGACGAUCCCUAGCUGGUCUGAGAGGAUGACCAGCCACACUGGAACUGAGACACGGUCCAGACUCCUACGGGAGGCAGCAGUGGGGAAUAUUGCACAAUGGGCGCAAGCCUGAUGCAGCCAUGCCGCGUGUAUGAAGAAGGCCUUCGGGUUGUAAAGUACUUUCAGCGGGGAGGAAGGUGUUGUGGUUAAUAACCACAGCAAUUGACGUUACCCGCAGAAGAAGCACCGGCUAACUCCGUGCCAGCAGCCGCGGUAAUACGGAGGGUGCAAGCGUUAAUCGGAAUUACUGGGCGUAAAGCGCACGCAGGCGGUCUGUCAAGUCGGAUGUGAAAUCCCCGGGCUCAACCUGGGAACUGCAUUCGAAACUGGCAGGCUUGAGUCUUGUAGAGGGGGGUAGAAUUCCAGGUGUAGCGGUGAAAUGCGUAGAGAUCUGGAGGAAUACCGGUGGCGAAGGCGGCCCCCUGGACAAAGACUGACGCUCAGGUGCGAAAGCGUGGGGAGCAAACAGGAUUAGAUACCCUGGUAGUCCACGCCGUAAACGAUGUCUACUUGGAGGUUGUGCCCUUGAGGCGUGGCUUCCGGAGCUAACGCGUUAAGUAGACCGCCUGGGGAGUACGGCCGCAAGGUUAAAACUCAAAUGAAUUGACGGGGGCCCGCACAAGCGGUGGAGCAUGUGGUUUAAUUCGAUGCAACGCGAAGAACCUUACCUGGUCUUGACAUCCACAGAACUUUCCAGAGAUGGACUGGUGCCUUCGGGAACUGUGAGACAGGUGCUGCAUGGCUGUCGUCAGCUCGUGUUGUGAAAUGUUGGGUUAAGUCCCGCAACGAGCGCAACCCUUAUCCUUUGUUGCCAGCGGUCCGGCCGGGAACUCAAAGGAGACUGCCAGUGAUAAACUGGAGGAAGGUGGGGAUGACGUCAAGUCAUCAUGGCCCUUACGACCAGGGCUACACACGUGCUACAAUGGCGCAUACAAAGAGAAGCGACCUCGCGAGAGCAAGCGGACCUCAUAAAGUGCGUCGUAGUCCGGAUUGGAGUCUGCAACUCGACUCCAUGAAGUCGGAAUCGCUAGUAAUCGUGGAUCAGAAUGCCACGGUGAAUACGUUCCCGGGCCUUGUACACACCGCCCGUCACACCAUGGGAGUGGGUUGCAAAAGAAGUAGGUAGCUUAACCUUCGGGAGGGCGCUUACCACUUUGUGAUUCAUGACUGGGGUGAAGUCGUAACAAGGUAACCGUAGGGGAACCUGCGGUUGGAUCACCUCCUUACCUGAAAGAAGC